GUUACAAACAAUAACUCAUUAAAACAGUGCUUGCUAUGCUUCUUACCUUCCUUUUAACUGUCAAAAUUGUAAUCUGUAAGAAACUUUCCUCAGCUAGUAAAAUCCUCUAAUUUCAGCAGAGAAUGCAACAACAGAAUGUGGCAAAUCCUCCUCUUCUGUUGUAGAGAUUUUCAGUGAAAAUUCCCAGCCUUCUCUGACUUACAGUGUCUUGGGUAUUCUCACUGGGAGGAGUAAGCACUUUCAGGUGGGGCUGAGACUGCAGGUACUGUUCACAAAGAACCUGAAGAUAAGUAGCAAUGUUUGUCUGUUGCUGAGAGGUGUUGUGAGGUUUUGUGGACAUUCUGUGCUGAGAAAAUGCAAACACCAUAAAAUAUAGGAAGCCAGACUGUCAAACAAGGGACAAUCAAACUAAACAACCUGUUCUCCGUUCAAGCAUUCCGUUGUGCUAACAGCUACUGGCAAAAAACAUCCCAUUGUGUACACUGGAAUCUUCAAUUUGCUAGAUGCUAAUGUCUGAGUACUUCACCAUCUGUGGCAUAUUUAUUCUCCUGAGACCACUGUGAGGUAGAGAGAGUAUUAAAUCCAUCUUAAGAGUGAAGAAUAAGAGCCGCAACAACA
ensembl:lncRNA